UUUUUUUUUUUUUUUUGUUAGAACCCUAAAUAUCAAGACAACACACUUAUUAUAGCAUAAAACAUGACUUAAUACUUUUCUAAAGACGAUCAAACAAAGAAUUCAUUCAAAUUAGUAAGACACAAACAUAAAAACUUUGAUAAUUAAUUAAGGAAAAAGAGCGAGGAAUGGACUCUUAAGCAUGUAAGAAAUACUCACAUGUCAUAUAGCAUGUUCGAAUAUAUUUCAGUACACAACAUUAAUAAUAUUAACAGAUUAAACACAUACGAAAUCUGAACAACUUCAAUAUAUUGAAAUUAAUUCUUGCACAAUAAUGACAUAAAAUUAUGCAAAAAAUAAAAUACAAAUAAAUGUUACCUCUUGUGAAAAUUAGUUAACGAGAUGAAAGGACAAAUAAUCAGGUGCCACGAACUUGAAACCGCGAAAACAGAUUUUCAGAUCUUCAAUCACAAUGUGAGAAAGUACAAUGUAUGUAUUGCUUUUUUAUUAAAUUCAUGCCUAUCUCCCUGUGUGUCUUUUUUUUUUUUCUCUUUUGUAGUAUGUGGGUGUAUGUAUAUAGGUGUUAGGAUAGGUGUAGGUGUGGGGUAGUGGGUUGUAUUAUGUGGGGUGUGGAAUGUGGAGGAAAACGUGAGAGAGUGGGAGUGUGGGGAAGUUGAGAGACAGUGGGAGUAUAACUUGCUGAUGGUUUUCUUUUCUUUACUUAUUUUUAUUUUUUUUUGGAAAAUAAGUCAAAAGCUUUUCCUUUUUUUAUUUUUAUUUUGUUCUCCUUUUCCCUUUUUUUGUUUUUUACGUGUAGUAUGUUUUGGAUAGGAGUAGAAGUGGGGUAGGUUUGCUAGAUUAUUUAAGUUAUUUUUAUUUUUUAGUUUUAGUUUUAUACUACUUUUAAAAGAAUAAUAAUUAACUAUAAAUAGUAAAUUAUAAUAACGUACCAACUAGUUAUUUAAAAUUAAUAAAAUCUAGGAAAAAGUCAAACAUCUAUAAACAAAAAAUAAUUAAAUAAUUCUAGCUUAUUUAUAAAAACAUAAUUUUAAAAUAAUAUAGAUUUUUGUAAUCUUUCAUUUCUUUUUAAACAAUUGAAAAAUAAAACUUACCUUAAAAAGUGAUUCUAUUUUUGUUGUUUUCAAAUCUUUUAAAAUAAACUUAAUAAAAUAAGAGAAAAUUUAAAAUAUUUAAUUUAUAUUUUUAAAAAUAUUUCAGUUCUAAGAAUGGUGUAAAAUUUUAAGUUCGGUCAAAAAUACGUGUCUACAGUUUGCCCCUCUUUGACUGGAAACACAAAGAGUUUUCAGACAAAGAAGUAGACAACGUGACAAGUUUUGACCGGACUCUUAUUCGAAAAGAAAAAUAUGCGACCGAGUCCUAGUUUUGGACAUCCUACAUAUCCCGGGUUAUAAGGGAAUCAGGUCAUGUGUAGUUCUAGGAGAUGAAAUGAUGAGUUGGAAGUCAAGUGAGGUCCCCUUGAGGCUCCAGUUCGCGACUCCUAUUGUUACAUGAAUAUAAAAGAUGAAAAAUUUAAAGGAAAUACAAGUACACGACCCUAUCUAUGUAGCUUCUCUUGAACCUUGACUUGAGUCUUCGUCCUUCUUGAGUUAUUAGAUAUUGAUUUUCAUCUCAAAUGAGUUCAAAGGCAAACGUCUUUCUCCAGGUAGGUUCCUUUUACUUGUACUUGGUUAUUGACUGUGUGUUCUUUUUAGAAUGAGCUGCUGCUUUUUCAAUCGAAAUUGAGCUUGAAAAUUACACUCUUUUCCAUCCAAGAUCCUGAGCUGGAAAUGUGGAUUGACCCCAUUCUAUCACUAGAUUCCUGAAAUUAAAACAAACAAAAAUAAUAACACAAAAUUUUGCCCCAGUUUAAUAUAAGAAAAUUUUGUGAGAGAAAUAAAAGAUGGUGCUUAGCUUUGAAUCGAGACUUUGAACGAUUCGAGCUUUGUCGCGAUGUACUCUUUAGAAGGCUUAUGCAUGUUUACACCAACUCCAUUCUUCAUGAUGAAUCGGUUAAAUUAUGUUAGUCUAGUCCUAUUGUUCAGGAGGGUCCUUGCUAUACUACGUCCCAUUAUUCAGGAGGGUCCUUGCUAUACUACGUCCCAUUAUUCAGGAGGGUCCUUGCUAUACUACGUCCCAUUAUUCAGGAGGGUCCUUGCUAUACUACGUCCCAUUGUUCAUGAGGGUCCUUGCUACACUACGUCCCAUUGUUCAGGAGGGUCCUUGCUAUACUACGUCCCAUUGUUCAUGAGGGUCCUUGCUACACUACGUCCCAUUGUUCAGGAGGGUCCUUGCUACACUACGUCCCAUUAUUCAGGAGGGUCCUUGCUAUACUACGUCCCAUUGUUCAGGAGGGUCCUUGCUAUACUACGUCCCAUAGACUAAUAAGACAAACAAACACUUACCCCAAUAUGGACUAUAAUUCUUGUGCAAUGUUUCCAUUUAGCUCUUCGUAGACUAAAUUGAACAUCUAGGUUUUGGACCUUUGAUCACAAAAUAACUUGUACCCCUGCUUUAACAAAGAAAAUUUGUGAGUUUAAAACGUGGUGGUUGGUUUGAGGUUCUGCCUUUUGACGAGGAUUGCUCAAGUACUUAUCGUGUUUUACUUUUUUCCAAACUCCCAGUGCUCAUUAUUGAUUGAUUGUAUUUGCACCCAAAUUUGCUCAUUUUUAGGGACUUAAAUCCAAUAUCUGCCUUUAUGUCACGACACUCAUUGUUUACCCUUCAUCAAAUCAUGGACUUUUUCGGAAUCCAAAACUUGCCGACAGAUGAUAACUCAUUAGCCUGAUGAUUUGCCUUGUACAAAUUUAGAGUUGAUAGCAAGUCUUGAAAUCCUUUCUUACUUUCUGGACAUAAACUCGACUCAAGGACAUAUGAAUCAAAGUGAUGAAAAGUGGAAGAAAAAUAUAUACUACACGAGAAUAGCAGAAAAUGAUUCGAUGAAGACUCUCUUUUAGAAAGAGAAAGAAAGAAAAAACUUAUCUGAGUGUGGUAGCCGACUCUAUUGAUCAUGACAUGCAAUUUGAAUUGAUUACCCGAUUUUUCCAUCCAAUCUAUUCAUCAACCAUUAUUGAUCAUCUAAUCUUGAUGUGGAGUUCCAACUAUUUGACGAAAUCAUAACUAAUUUCAAACUCUUAUUCGCCUUAUGAUGUCCACGAGGGUUUUUGCCACUAAAACUCUUUCACUUUGAAUCCUUCAACUCACAUUCACCUCAUGGUGCCCGUUAGGACUUUCACCAAUAAAACUCUCUCAUUUUUAUUUCUCUCUACUCACAUUCGCCUUAUGAUGCCCAGUUAGGGUUUUCACCAAUAAGAAUCUCUCAUUUUUUUAUUUAUUUUUUUCAUAACUCACUUUCGCCUUAUGAUGUCGAGUUAGGGUUUUCACCAAUAAGACUCUCUCAUUUUUGUUUCUCUCAACUCACAUUCGCCUUAUGAUACCCAGUUAGGGUUUUCACCAAUAAAACUCUCUCAUUUUUAUUUCUCUCUACUCACAUUCGUCUUAUAAUGCCCAGUUAGGGUUUUCACUAAUAAAACUCUCUCAUUUUUUUAUUUUUUCUUUCACAGUUCACUUUCGCCUUAUGAUGCCUAGUUAGGGUUUUCACCAAUAAGACUCUCUCAUUUUUGUUUCUCUCAACUCACAUUCAUCUUAUGAUGCCCAGUUAGGGUUUUAACCGAUAAGACUCUCAUGGUUUCAUCAUUUGUACCCUUAACAUACUUACUCUUGACACUUCAAAGGUUGAUCCAAAGGUCUUUCUCCAACUUUUAUACAAGGUUAGAAAGAAAUGACAAGAUGAAGUCUCAAAUACGACUUUAAAUGAUGGGAUCGACUUUAGCUUUGGGAUAGAAAGAAUAAAAAUAAAAAAAAAGACCUUCGCCCCAGUUUUUUUACAAAUAUGGAAUUUUGGAUUUUUUAUAUUUGGUUAGACCGAACCCCAUACUAGGGUUGCCUACGUAUCUUAUCGAAACAAGAAUCAGGUCAAACGUAGUUCAUGUUGAUUGAUUUUCUUCUUCUUCUUUUUUUGUUUUUCAUUUUUUUUUUCUUUUUCUUUUUUGUUGUUUUUUUUUUCUUUUAUAUGGGAAAGCCAAGGAAGCAGAAGAACCAAGGAAGUAAAUUAAAUCUCAACAAGGGUGACAACAUAUGACUUAAUACUUAGACACAGAACCAAGAAUUUCCAUUACAUCAACCUUUGAAAUGUCAAGUCCAAACAUAAUGGUUUCUAAUACCGAAAAGUCACAUCAUAUAUAAUAUCUUUUCACAGCAUCAGCGUUGAUGACCAUUUCUGUCAUUUUGCCUUCUAUAUCUGCUAAGUAAAGAGCACCAUUGGAUAAUACCUUCUUUACAAUGAAUGGUCCUUUCCAAUCUAGAGAAAAUUUGCCUUUGACUUCGGCCUGGUGUGGCAGUAUACGUCUUAACACUAAUUGACCUUUUUCGAAACGUCUGAGACGCAUCUUUUUAUUGUAUGCUCGUGCCAUUCUUUUCUGGUACAAUUGUCCAUGGCAUACUGAUGUCAAUCGCUUCUCAUCAAUCAAACUUAAUUGCUCCAUGCGUGUUCUGAUCCACUCAUCAUCAUCAAUUUCAGCCUCUACAACAAUCCGCAGGGAUGGAAUCUCAAUCUCUCCAAGUAUAACCGCCUCAGUCCUAUAUAUCAGCGAAUAGGGGGGUGGCACCCACUGACGUACGAACUGUAGUGCGAUAACCCAACAAAGCAAAAGGAAACUUUUCAUGCCAUUGUCGAGAACUUUUUACCAUUUUACGAUGUAUCUUUUUUAUAUUUUUGUUGGCAGCUUCUACAGCCCCAUUUGCUUUUGGGCGAUAAGGAGUCGAAUUUUGAUGUUUAAUCUUAAAUUGACAGCAUACCUCUUGCAUUAAACGACUGUUGAGAUUUGCAGCAUUAUCGGUAACAAUUGCCUUUGGAAUACCAAAUCGACAGAUGAUGUUGAAACAAAUGAAAUCCACCACGACCUUCUUGGUCACUGACUUGAAAGUUACUGUUUCCACCCACUUUGUAAAGUAAUCAAUGGCCACCAGGAUGAACCUAUGACCAUUCGAUGCUUUUGGUUCUAUUGGUCCAAUCACAUCCAUUCCCCAUGCCACGAAAGGCCAUGGAGCAGACAUCGCAUGCAACUAGGAGGGAGGAGAACGUAUCAAAUCACCAUGUAUUUGACAUUCAUAACACUUACGAACAAAUCGUAUAGAAUCCCGCUCCAGGGUAAGCCAAUAAUAACCUGCUCGAAGUAUCUUCUUUGCCAUAACAUAUCCAUUCAUGUGAGGUCCACAAACUCCUGAGUGUACUUCAAUCAUUAUUGUUGAAGCCUCUUUAGCGUUUACACAUCUUAGAAGACCCAAAUCAGGUGUUUUCUUGUACAAUGUGCCUCUGCUUAAGAAAAAAACGCUAGCUAGUCGCCGAAUAGUCCUUUUUUUAUUACUAGUGGCAUUAGUAGGACAUUUUCCGGAUUGAAGAUAUGUUUUAAUAUCAUGGAACCAAGGUUUACAGUUAAAUUCUUCCUCCACCAAGUUGCAAUAAGCAUGUUGAUCACGAAUCUGUAUGUACAAAGGGUCGAUAUGAGCUUCGUCAGGAUAUUGGAGCAUCGAAGAUAAAGUUGCCAAUGCAUCAGCAAUCUCAUUAUGAACUUUAGGAAUGUGUCUAAACUUUAUUGACACAAACCGUCGACAAAGAUCUUGUAAACAAUGUUGAUAUGGUAUGAGCUUUGAGUCACGAGUCUCCCAUUCUCCUUGAGUUUGAUGGACUAGUAAGUCUGAGUCUCCUAGCACUAACAACUCUUGGAUGCCCAUGUCAGCAGCUAACCUCAAACCCAGGAUGCAAGCCUCAUACUCUGACAUAUUAUUGGUACAAUAGAAUCUAAGUUGGGCUGUUAUACGGAAAUAUUCCCCUGAUUCAGACAUAAGAACUGCUCUUAUCUCAACUCCCUUCUUGUUGGAGGCGCCAUCAAAGAACAACUUCCAUCCUUGAUCCUUAUCAUGAAUAACUUCAUCGAUACAUGACACCUCUUCGUCUGGAAAGUAGGUCUUAAGUGGUUCAUAUUUGUCACGACUUAAGCCUAGGGCCUAGACGUGACCGGCAAAUGGGGAACNNNNNNNNNNNNNNNNNNNNNNNNNNNNNNNNNNNNNNNNNNNNNNNNNNNNNNNNNNNNNNNNNNNNNNNNNNNNNNNNNNNNNNNNNNNNNNNNNNNNACCGUAAGUUGCACCUUCAACUUUUCGAAAUCUGUAUAUUUGGUCUGUUUCGAAUACAGGGUGUUACAAAAACAAAACAAUGACGGUUGUGUAUAGUCUACUAUAGCCUAUGCCGACGUACAAGAUGAACAAAAAUCUUCAAUAAUAAAACUGCAUAUAUGAAAAUGAUAGAAAAAUAUAUAAGAAGCUCCUUUUAUUUUAUAUUUUUUUUAUUUUAGUUUUUGAUGAAUAUAUGAUUGUAUUGAUGAUUUCUUAUGUUAAAAAUAUUAUUGUGGAAUGUCACACAUAAAUAUUGUUGUGUUGCUCAUUAUAUCAAGUAUAUUGAUUUCACUUAAUCCCAUUAACAUUUUGGUUUAUAAAAUCAGUAAUCAUUUUAAUUUAUUACAAAUGUUAAAUGUGUGUAAGUUGUUACUCGUAAUAAAAUGCUUGAACGUACAUAUUCAAUGAUAAAAAAUGAAUUGAAUAAGUGUGUAUAUAUAUCUUAUUUUUCUUCUUAUGAACACAUAUAAGUUGUCUCACUUAAUAUUAGUAUGAAUUGUAACAUAUAUACUUUUUGAAUAAUUUAAAACUUCUUGCUAAUGUUAUAUUCCUUUUUACUAGUCAAUUUUGUGCAACACAUUUAUUUUUGUGUUCACAUUAUAUUUUGAAAAAUGAUUAUUUUGUUUCCACAUUAUUCUUAAACAUAAUCAAAUUAUUUUUAAAAAUCUUAUAUUGAUGAUUCUUUUUAAAAUAAAAAGCAUUACUUUGAAUGUUACAUAGCUAUAGGUGAUACGAUAUUUAUAUUUUUGUAAACCAUCUGAUUUGCUAAAUCUAAAGAGUAUUAUUUUUCUUAUCUCAAAAUAUUAAUAUAGUUAAACAAAAUUUUCUUAUUUCUAUACAAUAACUUUUGAAUCUAAGAUCCAAGGGUUCCUUAUCAUUCAAAAGGUGAAGAGGGUAUCAUUUUUAAAAUUAACAGAAUUGAGUUACAUGAUUUGAUUAAAGUUUACUCAUCUCUAUAUAACAACUUUUGGUUGACAAUUUAAGAUCUGAAGAUUCAUUCUCAUUUAGAAGGGGGAGAAGACUAUUAUCAUCACCCAUCAAGAAAUCCGAAACCCUUAGCACUGCAAUCUCAUAUAGUUGACCAAAUUUUGUUAGACAUAUGUCUUUUCUUAAAUAGUUAAAUAAUUUUCAAGAUUUCAUAAUAAAUAAACUAGAAUACAAUACCACAUAAUGAAACCAUAACAUUAGUUCCAUAACUUAUAAUAAUUUUCUAACAUAAAAAUGUUACCUACAAUAAUUUUAAAAGCCAGUGUUGAUGAAUUUACCUUGAAAAUUGUUGCUUGUACCCAUGGAUAAACUCAUUUGCCAAAUGAAUUUUGCCGGGCAGAUAAAAAAUCACGAAAAAUCAAAUUAAUUUUGAUGAUGUUAAGAGGAAAGAUCUAUAUAAACAGAUGUGUGUACAUAUAUAAAUUAUUGUAUUUUUACAGUUAAUAAAAAGAGAGGAGGAUAUUUAAAUGAAAACACUCAUACCUUUCACAAGAAAGUCUUGAAAUGGAAAAAGUGAAAUGAGUUACAUAAUUCACAAAUUUUAUAAUGAAUAUUUGUGUCUAAUUGAGAUUACCAUAAUUUCCAUCAUAUUUCACUUAUAGUUUUGAUUAAUUAUUAAUAAAAUACUAUAAAAUACAUAGUUAUUAAUCAAUGUCUUAAAUUAAAUAUAGGACGAUCUAAUCUAAACAUUAAUUCUAACAAACCAAAAGGACUGCAUGAUAAAUAUGGUAAAUUGAUUAUAAUCUUUCUAGUUAUUGUGUUAUGGUAUGAACACACAAUAGAACAUUUGGAUAUCAAUGGGAUAAAAAAAUAUAUCAAAUUCUUAUAAUUAAAGUUUAUCAGAAAAUAUAAAAGUUGACCAAAACUCUGCAAAAAUAGUUUAUAUCUAAAAUUUAUAUUUGAUUUGUGAUGCCAUAAUUCAUGGAAAAAACUUUAAACACUAUAUUUUCACCAUAAUCGCUUACAACUCCACCCCACCCCCAAAGCACCACAACCAAAGAUUUGAAAAUGUUUGGCCUCUUAGUUCUGAUUUCUAGGACAUCUCAAAAUUACUAAACUGAAAGUAAAUGCGAGGUCCUCGAGAAUACAAGGAGGUUGACCCAAAAGCUAACUGGAGUAUAGAGUGUUGUCAACGAAGAACCUAUUGAUAAUCAUAAACACUUGUAUCUGCAUCAUAAAAGGAUGCAAGUCGAAUGACAUUAGUACAUUAAAUGUACAAGUAUACAAGGAGAACUGAAAACGUAGAUGACUGAACUGAAAGUUGAUAGCACUCAACUCAAUCAAUACAUGAACAUGAAGUAUAAAUAUUUAACUUUACAACAAUAUAAAAUAUAGAAACAAUAUAAAAAAAUAUUAUACAGUACUUUUGGGGAGUUUCUCUAACCGACAACCGUUACUAUACGCUUAGCAAUAAUACAACAUUUCACCCACGAUGCAAGGGUCAUCCUAUACCUUAUCGAGGUACAGGUUGAUAUUGUGACUAUGGAUCCAUCUAACAGGCCUUCUUAGAGGCAUAAAGGAGUCGCACGAAGAAUCAAUGCUAUCUUAUCCUACGGUGGCUACGUAGUCUUAUGAGACUUCCAAAUUAUAAAAGACUCUAACCCAAUUCGGUGCUCAAUACUACACCAAAAAUAAUCAAUAUAACUUUAUCCUCAAUGUAUUAAAACAUACUCUUUCUCUGGUUUGAGAUAAUUGCUCAAAUUAUCCUCUUCAUAUAAGUAAUUGUUCUUGAAAUAUCUUUAAACUCAUAAACUCUUAUUAGAAAUCGAAGUUUCUCUUUUCUCAAUGGCAAAAUAAUACAUUUGGGAAUACAUAGUUUCCUUAAACGUUGCUCAAAUUUGUCUCUUUAAACUUUCCUCAAAGAACUCAGUUUAAAACACAAAUUUUGGCUUUAAAGGAUUUUCAAGAUUUAUAACUCAAAAUAGAGUUUAUGUUGAGUUAGAGACAUGAACGAAUCAACUCAAGGACCUCAAUAACAAAAUAGACAACUCUAAACUCAAGGACUUAGUUCAAACCUAUAGUUAAUUGCAAAAGAGUUCUCAACUUUCACUCAAAAGGACCUCUUAAACUUUCCUCUUAACUUUAAUUUAAUUUGAAAUAUAAAUUAAUAGAUGUUAUUACGAUAUGGAGGAUCUCUCAAGAAGUAAUGAAGACUUUAAGAGUUAAUAUCAAGAAAAGAGAAAACACACAAUUUUAAAUAACACAUAUUGGACGAAGAACGUCGGAGAAAAGGGCCUGACAACCCUGGCCCAUUGUUGGAGCAGAGCACCAAGCCUCCAAGUAUUGGAGGACCUUUGAUGGGUCCGUUCACCCUCACGUUCACCUCCAUAAUUGCUAGUUUAAAUACUAAUUUGAUCCUUACGAGGUAUGUAAGCUUUCAUAGUAAUGGGUCCAUUCACCCUUACGCCAAUCAUAAAUUUCUUGAGUUAAUUUUAUCCAUGACAAUCCAUGUAUUGAAGUUCUUAAUGAGUUUCUUGAAGUUUCGUUCUUAAAUUGUCAAUGAUGGAUUUUUGAUGAGUUCUUGAGAUGAAUGUUAUGAGUUUGAGGGUUGUUUUGAGUAGAAUUUCGUGUACUUAUGUUGAAUAUUCGAAUUUAACAGAGUUUUGAAGAAAUCAUCUGAUUCUAGGUAAAUUAGGGCCAAAAAUUGAGAAGAAAAAUUUGUCGUGAUGUUCUCGAAACAAGUUGGGGCGCUACACCCCCUAUGCGCCAGCUGGGCUGGUGUGGGGUGCCAGCUGUGCGCCAGAAAGCAUCCUCAGUUCGGGGAGGCCUAGCACGGCGCACUACCCCUGCGCCACAAAGUGUCAGACCACUUUCUUCAUCGUUUUCAUUUCGUACUUGUUCCUUUGAGUCGAGCUUUCAUUUCUUUCUUAAUCCUAGCGAUAUAAACUAUAUUUAAUCAUCACGAGAUCCUUCAUAUCAGGAAUCCUAACAAUUGAAUAUAUAAUUGAAGUUCAAGAAAAGAUUAAGAGUCAAGUUUGAGAGUGCCUUUCGAGUCUUUCUAAGAAGUCCUUCACCAACCUUUAAAACUUGUUUUAAGACUUGAGUAUGAGGAUGACUAGAGUUGAGUUUCAUUUUUAAAAAUGAAUAUAUGGAAACUAAGUAAUUCCAAGAGUAAAUGUCUUUACAUUUAAAAUGGGAGGAAACUUCGAUAUCCAAAUGAGUACAUUACGAGGUUUUGAGGACUAUAUCUUUUAAGAGAACCUUUUGUGUAAUAAUCUCAAAGUUUUAGGAUGAGGAAAUGUUUUUAAACAUAUUAACAUGAUUUAUAUUAUUAGUAGUAGUAUUGAGCACCGAUAUUAAGACGAGUUGAGACAACUCAAAGUCCUUUAAAACCCUGUAUGACAACAUGGGUAAAGGGUAUUACUUUUUAGAUGAUUCCUUAUUGCUUUUUAGCAUAGCUUAGUGGAUCCACUUUGUUGAAGAUAUCUUAUACUUAUGCAAGGUAUAUGACACUUCUGGCAGCGUGGGUGAGACGUUGUUUCAUAACAUAGCUUAUAGUAAUGGUUGUCGAUUAGAGAAUCUCCCAAAUAAGGGUAAAAAGGUUUAUUAUUGUUUUUUUAAAUACAUCUGACUUGUUAUCUACUCUUUUAAAAGUGUUCUUUAUAAUGUAUAUUUGAGUACCUUUGAGCAACCUUAAGUAUCUUUGAGUUGAAUUGAGCUGAGAAGAGCUGAGUAUGUUCUUCCUUUUUAUCAAGUUCAAGCUUAUAUCUGUGUUUUAGAGUUCCCCUUGCAUGCUCGUACAUUCCAGGUACUGACGCCAUUUGGCCUGCAUCUUUUAUGAUGCAUACAUAGGAGUUCAGGGUCUUCAACAGGCGCACUGUUGAUACCACGUGCAGUUCCAGAGUUGCUUUGGUGAGCAUCAUUUCUUCUGAAGGAUUCCCAUUUACCUUUUCAGUUUUGUUUGGAUGUCAUGGAUCUUGUCCCAACUUCUAUCAUUAUCAUUAGCGGCUUCAUAGAUAAUAGUGUUUUGAGGAUUCAUUUCCAUUUCUUUUGUUAAAUGUUUAAAAGUUUUGAGUUGCCUAUUUCUGGCUAGCUGAAUAUUCUUAUAUAUUCUGAGUUAUUUAUUUGAGACAGUUGAAUUAAAUCUUUACAAUUGAGUUCAUAUAUUGUUGAGUACGUCUUCCGUAGAGUAUUAAUCCAGACCUAUGGUUAGGUUAGGGCCAAUAAUAUUUCUCGAGUGCCAGUUACGUUCAGGGUGUAGGCUCGGGGUGUGUAAAACUUGGUAUCAGAGCACAGAUUUCAAGAGUCAUAAGGUUUUUAUGAAGCUAUUUCUAUAGAGUCUUAGUUUUCGGUGGAAAGCGCGCCACAUAUAUAAUUAAGAGGCUACGGCAUUUAGGAAAUAUAUCACUUCUUUCAUAUUCUUUUCGUGUGAUAGAGUUCAACUCUAUAAGAUUUUCCUUCUAAUUCGUGCUUGAGCAUAUAUUUUAGAUCAUGCCUUAACGAAGAGUUGUUCUAGGUUGUCCGGCUAGGAGGAAUGUUGAUCCCUAUGAUCACGGGGUCCCCAAUGCACCAAAAGUGCAACCCCAAGGAAAGGUCACUAAUGUUGAGUUGUGGGAUGAUAUUCGGAUGCUGAGCAAAGUUGUGACCAACCAAGCUGGGCAACAGAAAGGGGUUCGAAUGGAUGUCGCUGAUACAUCUAGAAUAUGUGAGUUCUUAAGGAUGAAUCCUGCAGACUUUAUCGGUUCAAGUUUCAUUGGGAUCCGGAAAAACUGUGUGGAAGAGUUGCAGAAAGUGUUUGAGGUGAUGCAUGAUGCAGAUGUUGAGCUUCUGGAACUAGUUGCAUACCAACUGAAGGGUGUUACUAGGGUCUGGUACGACCAAUGGAAGAAGAGUAGAGCAGAGGGUGCAUUAAUUGUGAGCUGGGCUGUGUUCGAAAAGGCCUUCUUGGGUAUUUCUUUCCCCGUGAGCUAAGGGAGGCAAAGGAAACAGAAUUCCUUAAGUUGAAGUAGGAAUCCAUGAAUAUAGCCUCAAGUUCACUCAAAUGUCCCGCUAUGCUCCGGAGAUGUUUGUCGACGUGAGGAGAAUGAUGAGUCUAUUAGUAUUUGGGUUGUCGCUUGUCAGGUAAUGAGGGAAAGACAACUAUGCUAAUAGGAGAAACAAACAUAGCAAGGCUUAUAAUCCAUGUGCAACAAGUUGAGGAAGAUAAACUGAGAGAUAGAGAAUAGUUUCGGAACAAGAAGGCUAAGACAACAAGAAAUGAGUUCCGGCAGCAGAAGAGGAAUGUGAACCGGUCAUUUUUUAAACAAAAGCAAAAUGGACCAACUCCAUCAUCCGCUAGUGCACCUGCACCAAGGAACACUGAUGGUAAAACAGAGUGCACAAUUCAUACCUUAGAAGAUAUGUUGAGGGAACGUGUCAUAGAUUUCAAAGGUAAAUGGGUUGAUCACUUGCCUCUCAUAGAUUUCGCAUAUAACAAUAGUUUUCACUAUAGUAUCCAGAUGGCUCCUUAUGAUGCUCUUUAUGGGAGAAAGUGUAGAUCGCCUAUUAGUUGUUUUGAAGUUGGUGAAGUUGAGUUGAUAGGGCCAAACUUGGUUCAUCAAGCCAUGGAGAAGUAGAAUAUUAUUUAGGAAAGGAUAAAAACAACACACAGUCAUCAGAAAUCCUAUACAGAUGUUAGGAGAAGAGACUUAGAAUUUGAGGUUAAUGAUAGGUUCUACUUAAAUAUUUCACACAUGAAGGGUGUUAUGCGAUUUGGUAAGAAGGGGAAACUUAGUCCCUGGUAUAUAGGUCCUUAUAGGAUAUCCAAGAGGGUUGACAAGGUAGCUUCUGAGUUGGAGCUACCUUCAGAGUUAGCAGAAGUUCAUCUAGUGUUCCAUGUAUCCAUGUUAAAGAAGUGUUUGAGAGAUCCUUCAUUCAAUGUACCUAAUGAGAAUAUUGGUAUCAAGGACAACCUAACUUAUUAGAAGCUUCCCGUUCAGAUUCUUGAUCGUCAGGUUCACAAGUUGAGAACCAAAGAGGUUGCAUCAGCCAAGGUCUUAUGGAGUAAUCAAUAUGUUGAGGAAGCUAUUUGGGAGGCUGAGGAAGAUAUGUCCACAUCUCUUUCGUUCCGGAGAAAUUUCUUACCACGGUACUUACUCUUUGUAAAGUACUCUUUAAGUUGAUAUACUGAGUUAUGUAAAUUGCAUGUUGGGUGCUUGAGUUAGGGUGGUUAAAUGCUUCCCCCCUUAUUCAACUUAGUGCGAUCUCAUUCGAGGAGGAAUGUUCCUAAGGGGGAGAUAUUGUAAAACCUUGAAAUUUGGUCAGUUUUCAAGUUUUGAGUCAACUUCAAACAACCAAAUCUUUUAUAAAAUAAAGAGUUAGGUGGACCAUGAGAUAUCAAAUCGAAAGUCUUUGAGAGCUUUUUCCAACGCCACCAAGUUUGUCUCAAUCUGAGUUUUGAGUAAAAAGAUAUAACUGAUUUACUAGAGACGCUCUAACCAGGCAGCAACUCUGUGAUGGAUUCGUGUUACGGAGCGAAUACGUACGUCACUGUCUACAGGAAAAAUAUCCCGACUUCCAGCUAGUUUUAUUUAUCUUUUAAGGGUAUUAGUCCUAGAAACCCUUGGCAAGUCAUCUAAAUUACCCAAAACUCUUAGAAAAAUUAGUUUUCCAAAUUAAACCCUCUCAUUGACUUCAAAAUUCUACACUCAAGAACUUCAAAACCCGUUAAGGCUAGGGUUCAUCUUCCAAGAUUUUUUCUUCAAGUCUCUUGAAGAACAUUGUUCUUCCAAGUAUGUGAGGUUUCUCAUAGUGAUGGAAUUUCUUGCCCUCACGCCAAUUGUAAUGACCCGAAAGGUCAUUUUGGUAAUUUUUCGUGGAAAUGACUAUUUUGCCCUUUCGGUAGUUGUCCCGAGUCCCAUGUUUUGUGGUUGUAAAGUUCGUUUGAGGAAAAGUUGAUAAAAAGUUGAGUUUUUGAGAAGUUAAGUUUUUAUGAGUUAAAGUUGGUUAAAAAGUGCUUUUUCGAGUCAUUUGGAGUUUCGUGACUCGGAUCGGAUUUCCGUCGAUUCCGGCGGUUUUAGAAUGUCGAAACAGGUCUGUGUGAGGUUACGGAGUUGAAUUUGGAGUUGAAACGAAGAAUUGAGGUCUUAAGUUGCUAAAGUUGUGAAAUUUCGAUAAAGAGUUGACUUUGGUCAACAUAUGAGGUUCCGAGGCUCAGAUUGAAAUUCCGAGAGUACCGUUGGUUUCGGGAGGCGAUUCUAAGUCUAGAAUGAGUCUUGGUUGAAUUUUUAGAUGCUCCGUUUGAGUUUCGAAUUUUUUUGGCGUUAAACUAGUUUCUUGGCAUCUUAUUGAAUUUCGGGUCAAGGAGUCCUCGAAUUCAAAUUCCGACAGUUCCAUUGAGUUUGGAAUGUCGAAUUUAGUGGGGGUACAUAUUUAGUUUGUGUGCACGAGAUUCCGAACGAAUCCCGAGGGUCCAACGGGGACUUAAACUUUGGUGUUAUAUGUUGUUUCAGCUGCUGUGGCUUUUUUAAGCUGCAACAGCAAUUUUUUUGUCUUUUUUUUAAAGCCAAAACCAGUAGCCAUUUUCCCCUAACUUGAAAAAUACCCAUUUCUCCAUUUUUAGACUUUGAGAGCUCGAAAAUAGGUGAUUUCAAGUGGGUUUUCGCAAGGAAUUCAUUGGAUUGUGGUGAUUUGGAGCGUGCUCGGAAGGGUAAAACUCAAAUUUGAGUUACUAGUUGAAGUGUUUUGAGGCAAGUGACUUCUAAACUUUGUUAAACUCUUAGACUACACAUGACUACUUUCCUAAUUGUGUUGGGGAGUAAUGGGGAUUGAGGAUGAGUUUUAUUUGUUGAUUGAAAUUGUUGUAAUUGAAAGAUGGGGAAUAAAACGAGCUAAAUGUGUUAUAUGUGACUUGAAUUUGUUGAAUAAGUCAUGUGAUAACUGAUAUUGAGGGGAUAGGAGAGCAUGAGUAGGCUAUGAUUGAUACAGACAUUGAUGUUGAGACAGAUGAUGUGUAAUACUAUGAUGUGGUCGUGAUAUGGUUGUGAUUGAGACAGAUGACGUGUAAUACUAUGAUGUGAUCGUAAUAUGAUUGUGAUUGAUGACAUGUGCAUAUUCAUUAUUCAUCCCAUGUGUGAACUAUCUGUUGCAUGAGUUCUGAGACACUGAUAUGAGGAUGGAUGGAUAUGAGACACAGUUGAGACUAGCUCCGGCUAGAGAUAUAUGAGAUGGACUAGCUCCGGCUAGCGAUUUGGAUGCCGAUGGGAUCUGGUUCCGGCGGUGAUACAUGGUCCAUGUGUGGCCCCCAUGGGUUAUGAUUUGAGUAUUCAGCGCGGUCUGAAUUACGUCAACAGAUGUGUAUCUUAGGACAGACAUGCAUCACGACUACAUGACAUCAUUAUUGCAUUUGCAUCGCAUUUGACUUCAUCUUUGUCUGUGGUGUGUGGAUUUUACCUACUUGCUCCUCUUCAUGUGAUAUAUGAUCUAUUUGCUCUUAUAUGAGGAUAUGAGGUUGAUGUUGAGAUACUGUUGGAUAUAUCUGUUGAUUAUGAAUUGUGUAGUAUAGGUUGUUGGUUCGCUGUUAGAAUGAAGUUUCGGUGGUUCGGUUGGGAUUGAAAGAAGUUGUUUGUAGCUGCUAGUUUAGCUUAGUUUAGUGUUACUUGCGAGUACCUGUGGUUUUCGGUACUCACCCUUGCUUCUACACAAUUGUGUAGGUUGACAGCUCUCUCAGAUUCGGCUUAGUAUUUUCUUUAGCAGAUUGAGCUUUGGGACAUACUCGAGAGGUAGCGGUUCAUUCCAGACGUGCCCUCAAGUUAUCUAUAUUUACUGUUCUGUUCUAUUCUAGAACUUUACUAUGAGACUUGUAUAUUUUAUUCAGAUUCUGUAUUAGAGGUUUGUACAUGUGACAACCAAUUCUGGGGUUAUGUUGAGUUUAUUUAAAGACUUCCGCUUAUCUUUCUAUCUUAUUCUUGUUUAUAAAUUCUGUAUCGUCGGGUUUUUGGGUGUUAGGCUGACGUGUCCGGUGGGGUUUGGGCACGUGCCAUCACAUCUGGUUUUGGGAUGUGACACAUAUAUUUAUUAAUAUAUAUACUUAAUAUAUUGUUUUUAUAAACAAUUUUAAAGAUCUUAUACAUAUUUUCAUUAAAAUUUCUUUAUAAUUUAUUUAUUGAAAGCAAAAAUGUCCAAGAUGAAACAUUUAUCUUAUUGAUUUCAUGUAUAUGAGUGUCUAUGACAAAUCUUUGUGGGACUGAAAAUGUUAUUGUCUCUUCCUUCUAGGCCAAUAUUGUGAAUUUUAAAGCUUUAUUGAUAGUAAAUUUAGUGAUCGAAAGUUCAGUAAUCUCAAGUUAUCUAUAUUUACUGUUCUGUUCUAUUCUAGAACUUUACUAUGAGACUUGUAUAUUUUAUUCAGAUUCUGUAUUAGAGGUUUGUACAUGUGACAACCAAUUCUGGGGUUAUGUUGAGUUUAUUUAAAGACUUCCACUUAUCUUUCCAUCUUAUCCUUGUUUAUAAAUUCUGUAUCGUCGGGUUUUUGGGUGUUAGGCUGACGUGUCCGGUGGGGUUUGGGCACGUGCCAUCACAUCUGGUUUUGGGGUGUGACACCAAUCAUGUGUAUCUUUCAUUAAAUUGUUCAUGUAAGUAUUAUUGAAAAGUUCUUCAGUUUUAACCCCAUUCUUUAACAAUGGAGGUUUUGAGUUCUUGAGGUGAGGGUCUUGCGAAUGAGUGGUGUUUGUUGAUAAAUUUUGAGUGGGAUUUUAAUUAAAUUGCAUUGGGGUUUUUAGUUAAAGUGAGUUUGGAAGAGGAAGAAAGAAAUCUGCCAACUAUUUGAGUACAGGGCCACGUGCGGAGACGCAUGAAAUUUCCAUAGCCAUUCGACAAUACAAUGCAUGUCUUGGAAAUCGGUUGAAUUUGAAUAGAUAGAUUCGAGUACAAAGGAAAGACGAUUAAUUGAACAAUAAACUUGUAUACACAAGCCCACUAUUGCACUAACCAUAUUGGUAUUAAGUGUAAAUGUGUGUAUAAAGUUAAACAUAAACUCGAGUUUACCUCUUUUAGAGUAUGAGGGCCCGAAUAAAUAACUACUAAAGUAAUGAAUGAAGUUUGAGAUACUAUGAGUAAUAGUGUUCUCAAAUAAGUAGGGAAUUCCUUCCAAAUGUGAUUAGAUUCUUAUGUGGGGUUUGGAAAACCUUAAGGUUAAACUCUUGAUUCUCACAUAUUGCAUGAACUAUUUGUUUUAUGAAUUGUGUGUCUAGUUGAUAUUGUAUUGGCUUGGGUCUUGUCCACCAUGUGCGAAGUGGGAGAUGUAAUUUUGGGUCAUGGGUCUCCCAUGGUGACCGACCUGACCCGAUCCAAGAAGUUUUUUCAGAACAGAUAGGAUCUAAUUAUCUCUUAUUUAAAAAAUGAAAGGGGGAAUAGUUUGGUAAAUAAAAAAUUUCCCAACCUUUCCUGAUAAUACAAUUUCUGCCUUUACACUAAAAGACAACGUAAAAAACAAUUAAAAAAGUGAACACAAACCAGAACAGAAUAAAAAAACUCAAAAGAUAAACACAUUUAGUUUGUGGAUCAUACUUUGUUUCUUAGUGAUUCAAAGAAGGACUUUGGAGCAAUCAUGUUAAACUCGUCAAUUUUGCUCUAUCUCUCUAUAUAUAUAUCAACAAUAAGGCUAAACAUAAAUUGAUACGCUAUAAGUGUGAACAUACUUGUUGAAACUUCAUUUGAUGAUAAAAAUAAAAGUUAAAGUAUGGUAUAUAUAUACUAAAAAAUACCAACACACACACACACACAAAUUGAACUUACGAGUUUAAGAGAACAAAAAAGUUUUAAAUGUUUAAACUCUUAACUCCUCCAUCGAUUUUAGAGUCACAUAAAAAUAUAUAGUGAAAGUUAAGAAAUAGAUAUAAUCAUAUGUCAAAAGAAACAAAACAACCAACAAUUUCUUUAAAAAUCAAAUUAAGAGUAUACGAUAUAAUUCUAGCUCUCUGAUCUGGAGAAUUUUUCAAAACGCUCAUGGGGCAGAUUUUUUCUUUUGGAAGAUGUGCACAUCUUUGUCGUUCUCUUCUCCUCUUUUCUUCUAUGACCUCGGGGUCAUUACUCGCUCUCAUUCGUUGGGAUCUACAAGGCCUUCUAGGGAUAACUGCAUUGCUCCCUCUUGAUAUCACAAGUCCUCUUGCUAGUGCUCGUGUGGAUAUAUCUUUAAGUCGAAUUGUCCUAUAAUAUAUUAAAGUACCAAAAUAAUUAACAACAACAAUAACAAGUUUAAAAUGUGAUGAUAAAUUAAACUUAAUUAUCUUUUCACAUGCAAGUACGCAAUUACCUUGACGAUGAUGCCAAAUGAUGUGAUUCACAGGUUGCAAAGUCUUGGUCAAAUGACUUGUGACUUCUUGUACAACUUCUUGACUAACCUCGACAAAUCCAAGGAUCAAUGUCUAUAAAAGUAAAUAUAAAAUAUUUUUAGCAUUUUGCAAACUAUAGUUAAGACUCCUUAAUCUAAACACUCAAAANNNNNNNNNNNNNNNNNNNNNNNNNNNNNNNNNNNNNNNNNNNNNNNNNNNNNNNNNNNNNNNNNNNNNNNNNNNNNNNNNNNNNNNNNNNNNNNNNNNNNNNNNNNCACAAUUAUUAUGUAAAUACUAUGCACACAUAUUUUUCAUAUAAGACUACGUUAAUAUUAAGAUAUCAAAUGAUAAUAUAUAAGUAAAUGCUUCUACAUACUAACCUCAUUGUCAGCAACACUUGAUAAUCCAUGAGUUUUUGAUGAAUCAUCUCCAUCCGAAUCGUCAGAUAUGAUUAUAAAAUCUAGAAAUCAUUAAAAUAAAAGCUUAAAAAAGGAUAAGUUAUCAUAAAAUUUCAAACAAUCAUGAUAUUUCAAAUUUAGAAAUACAUAAAAUUCUUUAAUUAAAUGAUUUUAGAAUAUAAAAUGGUAAUCUUGUUGUUUAUGCUAUUUACAACUGCUUUUUAUGAUAAAUAAAUGAAGAUCCAUUGAAAAAUCUAACAAAUUCGCAAUUGCACAAAUUAAUUGUUUGUUUUUUUAUUGUUUGGCCUAUAUUAUUUACAAUAUAAGAUUGUUUGUUAAGAACUUCUAUAAAACGGUAAAACUUAACUAGUUUCAAGAAGGAAAAAAAACGGAAGAAGCAUUGACCAAAGUAGAUCGUGAAAUACUACAGAUUAGAAUAUAUUUUAAUCAGUUUUAGAUCAAAUUCAUCGACAUUCUACAUGCAUCUAAUUUUUUAGUAACAAAAAGGAGGGGGAGGGUAAACAUUGAACAAACCACAAUUUUUUAUAAAAAAACAAUACAAUGACGGUUGUGUAUAGUCUACUAUAGCCUAUGCCGACAUACAAGAUGAACAAAAAACUUCAAUAAUAAAACUGCAUAUAUGAAAAUGAAAGAAAAAUAUUUAAGGAGCUCAUUUUAUUUUAAUUUUUUUUGAUUUUAGUUUUUGAUAAAUAUAUGAUUGUAUUGAGGAUUUCUUAUGUUAAAAAUAUUAUUGUGGAAUGUCACACAUAAAUAUUGUUGUGUUGCUCUUUAUAUCAAGUAUAUUGAUUUCAUUUAAUCCCUUUAACAUUUUGAUUUUGAAAAUCAAUAAUCAUUUUAAUUUAUUACAAAUGUUAAAAUGUGUGUAAGUUGUUACUCGUAAUAAAAUGCUUGAUCAUACAUAUUCAAUGAUAAAAAAAAACGAAUUGAAUAAGUAUAUAUAUAUUAUUAUUUUUUAUUUUAAAUUUUUUUUAUUUUAUUAUUAUUAUAUUUCUUCUUAUGAACACAUAUAAGUUGUCUCAAUUACUAUUAGUAUGAAUUGUAACAUAUAUACUUUUGAAUAAUUUAAAACUUCUUGCUAAUGUUAUUCUUUUUAACUAGUCAAUUUUGGGCAACACAUUUAUUUUGUGUUCACAUUAUUUUUUGAAAAAUGUUUAUUUUGUUUCCACAUUAUUUUUAUCUUAUAUUGAUGAUUAUUUUAAAAAUAAUAAGCAUAACUUUGAAUAUUACACAGCUAUAGGUGAUAUGAUAUUUAUAUUUUUGUCAAACCACCUGAUUUGCUAAUUCUAAAAAGUAUUAUUUUUCUUAUCUCAAAAUAUUAAUAUAGUUAAACAAAAUUUUCUUAUUUCUAUACAAUAACUUUUGAAUCUAAGAUCAUAGGGUUCCUUAUCAUUCAAAAGGUGAAGAGGGUAUCAUUUUUAAAAUUAAAAGAAUUGAAUUUCAUGAUUUGAUUAAAUUUUACUCAUCUCUAUAUAACGACUUUUGGCUGACAAUUUAAGAUCUGAAGAUUCAUUCUCAUUUUAGAAGGGGGAGAAUAUUAUUAUCAUCACCCAUCAAGAAAUCUUAAACCCUUAGCACUGCAAUCUCAUCUAGUUGACCAAAUUUUGCUAGACAUAUGUUUUUUUUCUAAAAAUUGUUAAAUAAUUUUCAAGAUUUCAUAAUAAAUAAACUAGAAUAUAAUACCACACAAUGAAACCAUAACAUUAGUUCCAUAACUUAUAAUAAUUUUAUAAUAUAAAAAUGUAGCCUACAAUAAUUUUAAAAGUCCAGUGUUGAUGAAUUUACCUUGAACAUUGUUGCUUGUACCCAUGGAUAAACUCAUUUGUCCAAAUAGAAUUUUGCUGGGCUGAUAAAAAAUCGAAAAAAAAAAUUAAUUUUGAUGAUUUUAAGAGGAAAGAUCUAUAUAAACCGAUGAGUGUACAUAUAUAAAUUAUUGUAUUUUACAGUUCAUAAAAGAGAGAGGAUAUUAAUUAAAACACUCAUACCUUUCACAAGAAAGUCUUGUAAUGGAAAAAAGUGAAAUGAGUUACAUCUUUCAAUAAUUUUAUAAUGAAUAUUUGUGUCUAAUUGAGAUUACCAUAAUUUCCAUCAUAUUUCACUUAUAGUUUUAAUUAAUUAUUAAUAAAAUACUAUAAAAUACAUAGUUAUUAAUCAAUGUCUUAAAUUAAAUAUAGGACGAUCUAAUCUAAACAUUAAUUCUAACAAACCAAAAGGACUGCAUGAUAAAUAUGUUAAAUUGACUAUAAUAUUUCUAGUUAUUGUGUUAUGGAAUGAACACGCAACAGAACAUUUGGAUAUCUAUGGCAUAAAAAAUAUAUCAAAUUCUUAUAAUUAAAGUUUAUCAAAAAAUAUAUAAGUUGACCAAAAUUCUUUAAAAAUAGUAUAUAUCUAAUAUUUAUAUUUGAUUUGUCAUGCCAUAAUUCAUGGAAAAAACUUUAAACACUAUAUUUUCACCAUAAGCGCUUACAACUCCACCCCACCCCCAAAGCACCACAAACAAAGAUUUGAAAAUGUUUGGGCUCUUAGUUUUGAUUCACUUCAUAUAUGGUUGAUGUCACGAUAUGAGUAUAUACCCUGGGCGUGGCCGGCACUCAAGAAUCAUUGACGGUCCACAAGCAAAACUUCAUCCUGGCUGACUACAAGCGGAAAACUAACUCGAGCAAUAAUAGGCUUAAAAUUGAAUUAAAUUCAUUAACACUCAAAUACUAAACUUCAUGAAGUCUGGAAAGUACUCAAUAACAAUAUUUAUAGUUUCUAAAAUGACUCAAAAGAAAGUAAAUACAGAAUUACUCCUCAACUAUAACUAUCUAUGAAGCCUCUGCUGUUAAAGAAGGAUAUCGGGACAAGACCCAGAACAUCUCAAAACUACUAAACUAAAAGUAAAUGCGAGGUCCUCCAGAAUAACAGGAGGCUCACCCAAAAGCUAACUGGAGUGUAGAGUGAUCUCAACGAAGCACCUGUUGAUAAUCCUAAACACAUGUAUCUGCAUCAAAAAAGGAUGCAGGUCGAAUGACAUCAAUACAUUGAAUGUAUGAGUAUGCAAGGAAAACUGAAAGCGUAGAUGAUUGAACUAAAAUGCUGAUAGCACUCAACUCAAUCUAUACAUGAACAUGAAGUAAAAAUAUUUAACUUUACAACAAUAUAAAAUAUAGAAACAAUAUAAAAAAAUAUUAUACAGUACUUUUGGGGAGUUUCUCUAACCGUAUAGGCCUAACAAUGAUACGAUAUUUCGCCCACGCUGCAAGGGUCAUUCUAUACUUUAUCGACAUACAGGUUGAUAUUAUGACUAUGGAUCAAUCUAAUAGGCCUUCUUAGAGGCAUAAAGGAGUCGCACGAAGAAUCAAUGCUAUCCUAUCCUACGGUGGCUCAUAGUCUUAUAUGACUUCCAAAUUAAAAAAGAAUCUAACCCAAUUCGGUGCUCCAUAUUAUUUCCAAAAUAAUCUAUAUAGCUUUAUCCUCAAUGCAUUAAAACAUACUCUUUCUCUGGUUUAAGAUAAUUUCUCAAAUUAUCCUCUUAAAAUAAGUAAUUAUUCUUGAAAUAUCUUUAAACUCAUAAACUCAUUUUAGAAAUCGAAGUUUCUCUUUUCUCAAUGGAAAAAUGAUACAUUUGGGAAUACAUAGUUUCCUUUAACUUUACUCAAAUUUGUCUCUUUAAACUUCCCUCAAAGAACUCAGUUUAAAACACAAAUUUUGGCUUUAAAGGAUUUUCAAGAUUUAUAACUCAAAAUAGAGUUCAUGUUGAGUUAUAGACAUGAACGAAUAAACUCAAGGACCUCAAUAACAAUAUAGACAACUCAAAACUCAAGGACUUAGUUCAAAACUAUAGUUAAUUGCAAAAGAGUUCUCAACUUUCACUCAAAAGGACCUCUUAAACUUUCCUCUUAACUUUACUUUAAUUUGAAAUGUAAAUUAAGAGAUGUUAUUAUGAUAUGGAGGAUCUCUCAAGAAGUAAACAAGACUUUAAGAGUUAAUAUCAAGAAUAGAGGGAAACCACAAUUUUAAAGAACACAUAUUAGGCGAAGAACGCCGGAGAAAAGGGUCUGACAACCCUGGCCCAUUGUUGGAGCAGAUCGUCAGGCCUCCAAGUACUGGAAGACCUUUGAUGGGUCCAUUCACCCUCACGUUCACCUCCAUAAUUGCUAGUUUAAAUGCUAAUUUUAUCCUUAUGAGGUAUGUAAGCUUUCAUAGUGAUGGGUCCAUUCACUGUCACGCCAAUCAUAAGUUUCUUGAGUUAAUUUCAUCCAUGACAAUCCAUGUAUUAAAGUUUUUAAUGAGUUUCUUGAUGUUUUGUUCUUAAAUUGCCAAUGAUGGGUUUUUGAUGAGUUCUUGAGAUGAAUGUUAUGAGUUUAAGGGUUGCUUUGUGUAGAAUUUUGUAUACUUAUGUUGAAUAUUCGAAUCUAACAGUGUUUGGAAGAAACCAUCCGAUUCUAGGAAAAUUAGGGGAAAAAAUCGAGAAGAAAAAUUUGACGGGAUGUUUUGGAAAUAGGUUUGGGCGCUGCGCCUCCAAUGCGCCAAUAGGGCUGGUGUGGGGUGCCAGCUGUGCGCUAGAAACCAGCCCCAGUAAGUGGAGGCCUAGCGCAGCGCACCACCCCUGCGCCAAAAAGUGUCAAACCACUUUCUUCAUCCUUUUCAUUCCGUACUUGUUCCUUUGAGUCAAGCUUUCAUUCCUUUCUUAAUCCUAGCGAUAUAAACUNNNNNNNNNNNNNNNNNNNNNNNNNNNNNNNNNNNNNNNNNNNNNNNNNNNNNNNNNNNNNNNNNNNNNNNNNNNNNNNNNNNNNNNNNNNNNNNNNNNNUGCCCGUAAAUUUUUCCUAUAUCUUUUAAAUAUUUUGUGAGAAUACAAUUAGUGUAAGGCAAUGAAUGUAAAGUGUAAUUAAAUAUGUUAUUGUACGUCUAGUAUGAUAGUGUUAUAUCCCCUUUUAGGUCUUGAAUUUGUUUGUUGUACUGAAUUAGUCAUUAGGGUCGAUAUCAUUUUCUCUGAUAUUGCAGAGGUUGUUUGUGUUUGGGCACAUUUCAAGUGUGUUUACUUCUUCUUCGUUUUUUAAUCUAUUAUAGUAGUGUCUUACCAUAAUACAUGUAUUUGAAAUCUUAGUUUCUUAGUUUAUUUCCUUUUCUUAAUUUUAAAAGUUUCAUCACUAAAAAUAUGUGACUCGUGUAUUUUAACACGAAAUGUAACUUUUAUCAUGAAAGUGAACAAUUUGUGACGAAAUAAAUGUUGUAGCUAAGACUUUCGUAGCUAAAUAUCAUAUAAAUAGAAAUGACUAAUUAUUAGGCCGUAUGAUUAUUGAUAGAAAUGACCAAUUUAGUUGAAGGGAGGCUAUAUAUUAUGCGUAAUGAAGGUGUGUCCUGUGCAUUGAACAUUUACUUAGUAAAACAAUAAUUCUUACUUUAGAGUCGGUAAUGGUCUUAGACUUGAACUAUGAUUGCUUAAGCAAAAUAAAGUAUCAUUGCUUACACACAAUAAUCAAGGUGUAGACACAAUUAGCUUUAAUAGCCAACACAUAUAUAUUUGUACUAUCCCAAUUUAUUACUUUCAUGAGUAUUAAUUUUGAGAAUAUACAUAUUCUCCCAAUUCUUAUAGAAAGUGGUUUACUUUUACGGUGGCACAGAUGAAAUAUGUCAAAUGUAUUCCUAUAUAUAAUUUUAGCACCCCACUGAUAUAUACGAGACACAAACAUUCAUUAACUAAGAGUUAAAAGACUCUAACAUCUACAAAUAAUUAAUUAAUUAUAGGAUAAACGAACUCACAUGGAAGGAAUAUAUAUAUAUAUAAUAGUGCAUUUGUAAAAGAGAUAAAACUUGACUAUUAAAUGAAAUUAAAAGUAGUUAAUUAUCCACUCACACCAUUUAUUUAUUAUAUAAUAAGAUAAUAGUUAACAUAAAGAUACAUGACCUUUUAUACUCGCUCCGUAUGAUCGAUAUGAGUAUUUAUUAGAUAUUUAUUAAGUGAAAGAGUCAUGCAUUAUUAAGGAGUGGAGAAAUAGAAAUGACCAAGCUUGACUAUAUCAUAACUGCUACUAAACUAAAUGUCCCCACAAGUGCUGAUAAAACUACACCACCCACACCCUGAAUGAUGUUUCCAACAAGCAUGAGGGGAGCUUGAAGAAUUCCUGAGGUGGGCAACAAAGUACAAUUAACAAUUGGGAGAGCAACCCUUGCAACACAUGAAAGAGUUGACGUAUUUCCAAACAAAAUAUUUGUAUUGGUGCUCAAUGUAACAUUUAUUAAACCUUCAACAUUUGUGAUCACUUGAGCAAGGGUUGUGUUGCCACAAA
rnacentral:lncRNA from 1 species